CGCCUCUCAGGGUCACAUCUGGAGAGUUUCCAAUACUCUACACCAGUUUUGGCUAUGGGAGGGAGAGUGAAGCAGAGGCCUACCCAUUCCAUUCCUAGCCUGGGCAGUGGCUAGCGAGUGGAAGGCAAUCUGCUACAAGU